rnacentral:rRNA from 1 species
UACAGAGGGUGCGAGCGUUGUCCGGAAUCACUGGGCGUAAAGGGCGCGUAGGCGGCUUUAUAAGUCGGGGGUGAAAGCCUGUGGCUCAACCACAGAAUUGCCUUCGAUACUGUAGAGCUUGAGACCGGAAGAGGUAAGUGGAACUGCGAGUGUAGAGGUGAAAUUCGUAGAUAUUCGCAAGAACACCAGUGGCGAAGGCGGCUUACUGGUCCGGUUCUGACGCUGAGGCGGCGAAAAGCGUGGGGAGCAAACAGG